AGUUCGUCCCCAUUCCAUACACCCCGCCCCCGGUGGCGCGGAGUGCAGAGCCAAGAUGGCGGCCGAGUUGGAGUACGAGUCUGUUCUGUGUGUGAAGCCCGACGUUAGCGUCUACCGGAUUCCUCCCCGGGCCUCCAACCGCGGUUACAGGGCAUCUGACUGGAAAUUAGACCAGCCUGAUUGGACUGGUCGCCUCCGAAUCACUUCAAAAGGAAAGAUCGCUUACAUCAAACUUGAGGAUAAAGUUUCAGGGGAGCUCUUUGCUCAGGCACCAGUAGAACAAUAUCCUGGUAUUGCUGUGGAGACAGUGACAGAUUCCAGCCGCUACUUUGUAAUCCGGAUCCAGGAUGGUACUGGGCGUAGUGCUUUCAUUGGCAUUGGGUUCACAGAUCGGGGUGAUGCCUUUGACUUUAAUGUCUCCUUGCAAGAUCACUUCAAGUGGGUAAAGCAGGAAUCUGAGAUAUCCAAAGAAUCUCAGGACAUGGAUAAUCGUCCCAAGUUGGAUCUGGGCUUCAAGGAAGGACAGACCAUCAAAUUGAGUAUUGGGAACAUUACAACUAAGAAAGGAGGUGCUUCUAAGCCCAAGACUACAGGGGCUGGGGGCCUAAGCUUGCUCCCACCCCCACCUGGAGGCAAAGUCACUAUUCCCCCACCGUCCUCCGUUGCCAUCAGCAAUCAUGUCACUCCACCACCCAUUCCAAAAUCUAACCAUGGAGGUAGUGAUGCAGAUAUCCUUUUAGAUUUGGAUUCUCCUGCUCCUGUCACGACACCAGCAUCAGCUCCAGUUUCUGCAAACAAUGACCUGUGGGGAGACUUUAGCACUGCAUCCAGUUGGAGAAAAUCUCAUUUAUGUGCUCCAGAGUCCGCCAGUAUUAGGAAUCGGAAAACAGUGAUGAAGAAAAAUUUUACUUUGGUACUUUGCCUAUGACCUGAGAGAAGAAAAACAAUACUGUAAAGCACAGCUGUGGAGAGAGACAGUGAGAGAGGAAACAUAAGCAGGAGGAGUGGGAGAGGGAGAAGCAUGCUUCCCACAGAGUGGGGAAGCCCCACAUGGGGCUCAAUUCUUGAACCCUAGGAUCAUGACCUGAGCUGAAGACCGACACUUAAUGACUGAGCCACCCAGGUACCCCAUUGACUUUUUUUUUUUAGUCUAAAAAUUUCAGCUCUCACUUUUAAUGAUCUUUUAUAUUUUUGGUCAUGGAGCCCAAUGUGGGGCUCAAACUCAUGAACCUGAGAUCAAGACUUGAGCUGAGAUCAAGUUUCAGAUUUAACCAACUGAGUCCCCCAAGGUGCCCCUGCUCAGUCUUUAUUUCAUAUAUUUGUCUGGUCUUUGUUAAUUCCUUUCUGCUAAUUGGGCUUGAUUUGUUCUUUUACUAGUUCCAUGAGGUGUAAAUUGAGGUCUUCAAGCUACUUUUUGUUUCUUGAGGUAGUCAGGAAUCAUUAUAAACUUCAUUCCUAGAACUGCCUUUAGGGGCACCUGGACGGUGGUGUCUACUUUUGGCUCAGGUCAUGAUCCCUAGAUCCAGGGAUUGAGCCCCUCUUUGGGUUCCCUGCUCAGUGGGGAUUCUGCUUCUCCUUCUGCUGCUCCCCCUGCUGUGCUCUCUUUCUCUUACUCUCUCUCAAAUAAAUAAAUAAAAUAUUUUAAAAAACUGCCUUUGCAGUCUCCCAUAAGUUUUGAAAUGUUGUGCUUUCAUUUUCAUUUGUUUGAAUUAGAUUUUUUCAUUUUUUUUUCUUUUCUUUUUUUAGAGAGAGAGCGAGAAAGCACAUGCACACAUGUGUGCAUGCAACUUGUUGGGUAGGUGGGCAGAGGGAGAGGAAGAGAAAGAAUCUUAAGAAGGUUCCACUCCCAGCUUGGACCUGACACCAGGCUUGAUCUCACAAGCUUGAGAUCAUGACUAAGCUGAAAUCAAGAGUCAAACACAUUACCAGCUGAACCAGAUAGGCACCCCUGUCUUUUUAUCGUCUUAACUACACCUUAGACACAUCUUUUCAUUUGGCUCAGUAAACUUUCUAGAGCAGAGUUUCUCUCAUGUAUUUGAAAUCACGUUUGUUUUCCAGGAACACAGAAUAUGCCAGGUGUAGUUUAUUUUUUCCUGUUCUAGGUGGGAUUUAUAUAUCCUCUAAGAUUCCUAAAUCCUUUUAAUAAAGAAUACAUAGUACUUUAGAAAAGAUGUAGUUUCUAGAGUCACUUUGAGAGUUUGUGGGUAAGUAAUAUUGUUGCUAUGGAAAUACUUUGUUUGUGACAGUGUUGAAAAAUAUAUGUGUUGUCAAAUCUAUAAUUUUACUUCCUUCCACUUCCAACUUAACAUAGUAGUAUUUCAUUCAAGAUCACCAGAUAUAUAUGUGUGUGUACAUAUGUGUGAGUGUAUAUAUACUUAAAAUAAUAUUGUAGCUUAAGGAAGAAGGCAGGUGAAGGGCCAUAUUUUGGAAGCUAGAAUUUAAGAAGGAUCUCUAAGCUACUGGAUACUUGUUUUUGUGAUCUCAGGCUGCUGUAGCAAAAUACCAUAGAUUAGUGGCUUAAACAACAGGAAUUUUUAUCUCACAGUUCUAGAGGCUGGGACGUUUGAGAUUACAAUGCCAGCAUGGCUGUAGGACACAACAUUCAGUCCAUGAUGGCACUGUAAAAGAGGACAGGGAACCUGAUGAUGUCUUUACCACAGAAUGUUACAUUUCCUUUUCCAUUGCCUUAUAAGCUUAUUUUCUCUCAUCUAGGAAGAUUUGGGGGUUUAAUCAACAGCUCCACCAUCCCUUUCUUAACCCCAAAACAAAAAUUUGUGAUAAACAAAUUUUGAUUUGUUUACCUGUCUUUACAUACAGUAUACAUACAUUGUGUACAUUAAAAGCUUUAGUUCAGGGGCGCCUGGCUCAGUCGUCUGCCUUUGGCUGAGAUCAUGAUCCCAGGGUCCUGGGAUUGAGCCUCACCUUGGGCUCUGUGCUCAGAAGGGAGCCACCUUCUCUCUUUCACUCUCCCUCUGUGCUCCUUCAAAUAAAUUAAUAAAAUCUUUUUUUAAAAAAAAGCUUUAGCUCAUUGCUCGCAUUAUCUUUUGUCAUCUUGCAUACAACUUACUCAGUUCAGAGACAUUUUUAAGGCAUAAUUUACCUCAAGGAUGUAACAUGUAAUUUGAAAUAUAACACCUCUCCCUAAAAAAAAAAGAAGAAAGAAAGAAAGAUGGAGUGUGUAUUAAAUUUUUAUUAAGCAUAGUGAUUAUUCUUUUAGGGCAUUGCUAAACUUUUUGUUUGAAUGAAUAAAAACAAAUUGAGAAAUUUCACAUGACACACUAAUCUAGUGAUUUCAACAUACUUCAUGGAAAUUUCUACUGGCUGUUUUUGGGUGUUGCUUUCCCGAUUUCCUUUCGUCUUUGCUCUGUUUCUCAGAGUGAAUCAAAGGAAACUUGUCUUUGAAAAGACUUCUUCUUUUGACUCAUCUUUUAUGUAGAGAACUUUCUGCUCUUACCAGAAUAAGUAAGAUUAAUGUUCAAUCUCAAGUAUUUCUGAGGGUAUACUCCUUACCCACAGAAAUAUACACUUGGGGCAAAAUCAGAAGAGGCUUCUCAUUCUCCCAACCACUGGACAGGAAGAGAAUUAACCCACAAUGGGUCAAGAAGAACCUCAAAAUAAACUAACUCAUCACACCAUUCUACGCUGCAGGAGAGAAGCAAGAGUGUUCAAGUUACCAGAGUACUACAAGAAGCUGACAUGCACCAGAGAGAAAUCAAAAUUGAAAGUGUUCCAAGAGUCAUUGUUUAUGCACCACACCCAGUGCCCCAUGCAAUAUGGGCCCUCCUUAAUACCCACAAACAGGCUCACCUAACCCCCCACCCCCUUCCCCUCUAAAACCCUCAGUUUGUUUCUCAGAGUCCACAGUUUCUCAUGGUUCAUCUCCCCCUCUGAUUUUCCCCAAUUCACUUAUCCUUUCCUUCUCCUAAUCUCCAUGUUAUUCCUUAUGCUCCACAAGUAAAUAAAACCAUAUGAUAAUUGA